CAGUAGCCGCGGUAAUACGUAGGGUGCAAGCGUUAAUCGGAAUUACUGGGCGUAAAGCGUGCGCAGGCGGUUUGUUAAGACAGAUGUGAAAUCCCCGGGCUCAACCUGGGAACUGCAUUUGUGACUGGCAAGCUAGAGUGUGGCAGAGGGGGGUGGAAUUCCGCGUGUAGCAGUGAAAUGCGUAGAUAUGCGGAGGAACACCGAUGGCGAAGGCAGCCCCCUGGGCCAACACUGACGCUCAUGCACGAAAGCGUGGGGAGCAAACAGGAUUAGAUACCCCCGUAGUCCCUGUCUCUUAUAU
rnacentral:rRNA from 1 species